CAGCCAUGAUGGGAGUAUAUUCUUUUGCAACUGUAAGGUGCGGCAGGAAACGGCUGACCCCUCACCCUGCCCCCGCAGUGACCUCAACCCCACUGCUGACGACCACCCUCCCGGCCGCCUAAGGCCGACCAUGAUCACCUCUCCUGGUUGGCCGCCAAGCAGGAGAGGAUGGAGCGCAGAGUUGUUGCAACCCAGUUCUCCCAUUCAGAGUGGGAAGUCAGCAGGGGCUGAGGAAUUGGCUGUGACAAACAAGAGACAAGAACCACUGAAAUGCGCCCGUAUGCUCACCAGGACACUAUUGCUGGUUAAGUGGUCCUGAAGCACCAGUUGUGAUGAAUGGAAGAUCAGCAUCAUUGGGGUAAAACCUUCUGGAAAGUGUUUCCUCAGGAUCAUCCCACAGAGCUGCAAUUGGAGGCGGCCGAGGCUGCAUUUCAAGCUGUUCACCGGA